UGCUCACUUUGACAGCACUAGACUAAAACUGGAACAACCCGGAGAAGAUUAGCAUGGCCCUUAUAUAAGGAUGCCUUGCAAAGUCCUGAAGCACUCCCUAUUUUU